rnacentral:tRNA from 1 species
GCCGGUGUGGCUCAGUGGUUGGAGUGUUGGCCCAUGCACCAAAGGGUCAUGGGUUCAAUUCCCAGUCAAGGGCA